UGACCUUGAAUUGCGGAUAUCCCUGCCAAGAUUUUGAAAAAUGGAUGAACAAAUUAUAUAAAUGCCCAUUAAUUAUAUCAGGUUUAUCGCUCCACAUAAAAAGAACAGAAGAAUCCGUUUCAACAGUUCAAAUAGAUGUCCAUAGGGAAAAAGCAAGCCUUGCAAAGCAUAAAAAACUACGCAAUACACUCUUGGCUUAAAAAAUAAAUUGA
rnacentral:misc_RNA from 1 species